GAAGUUUCAGUGACCAUUGUUUCCUUACAGCACGGUUUGUUCUGUCGGUGCAGAUACAAGGUAUAUAAGGAAGAACCUGUUGUAGUUUCGACAUAAUGCAUGACAGCUUUAGUGGCACUGUAGUAAAUCGCCGAAAUGAAAUUUUACGAAAUUCUUUUUUUAAUAAGCCUGUUGUUGAUGAUUGUCUUCGGAAAACCAGCACAAAAACCACGACGUUUAAAACUUUCUACAGAUAAACCGAUCACUACUGAAGCGACAACUAUAUCUGUCAUAUUGAAUACUACAUCUGUUAUAUUGGACAUUACACCGGCUAAUAAAUCUCCUGUUGAUUCAAAUAAUGAUUGUCUAGAUUGUGUAAAAGAUAUUGAACUGGUCCCGAUCACAGAAAAACCAACAAUCGUCAUCGGUGAUGUCUUGUGUGCGUUUUGUCAACAAUAUUUGGAUCCAGUCGAAAAAGAGAAAUGCAUCAAGAAAAACUGUGCAGGGGGAUAGACUAUCAUAAUUUUGUAUAGACCUGACUAUGUGUUAUUCCAAUAGUUUCCUCCAUUUUGGUAUUUAGUUUAUAUCAAUUUAGCAGGUCGAGACCAAUAGAUUUUGUGACGUCGGCAUAAAUUUGCAUAUAAAAUUAGCUAUCUGUUUACUUUGAUUUACAAACCAAUCGGGUGAAUGAGUUGCAAGGCAUUGUGGGCUACUACAAGUUUCACUGUAUACAAAGCGUAUUGAAAAUAUCUAUACCAUUUUGAAUUGUUCUUUGGAUACUCAUUUUCAAUUAUUUUUUAAAAUUAAUGAAAUAAAUUUGGAAAAUCAUGUCUAAGCUCACAUUUGAAAAAUAUUGUCUAUAAGGCCUUAUAUGCCUCAUUGUCAAAGUUCAAAAGAGAGGUACGUCAUAUUAUAUUAGAAGCAGUGCGUACGUUUUUCACGUGAUAACCCAGGUUUGGGACAACAUUUAUUUAGUAAAAUUUUGAAAUUUUCUUCAGGGACACUCAUCGGAAUGCUUAGUGUACAAAAUACUACAUGAUUCAUAACUUUUACUUCUGUAUUUGUAUAUUUGUGCAUUUCUACUAUCGUGGCUAAUUACGCAUGUUAAAAAUGUACAAUUACCUGCAUUUAUAAAUGGUGUACAAUAAUUAAGUCACCAAUAAACAAUUAUGCAGUGUUUCCUUGUCAAAAUUUGCUUGUACUUGUAUGCGUAUGUAUGCCCGUUUUUUGCUACUGAUCGAUUUUUGAAGUAACAAUUGAUAAAUUGAUAAAUUAAAACAGCAGUAAUUUUCAAUGUGAGCAUGGAACAAAGUCUACGGUACGUAAUUUUUCCUUUUUUACCUUCUAAACUAGAAAUCAAGAAUUUCUAGAAAUCUAGAAUUUUCCGGCAAGCUAUUAAAUAUUGUGUAUAAAACAGACACAAACCACGUGUAUGUCUUGAAAAGUAAACACGUUGUAGACCGUCACGCUUUGCGACUCAUUCAAUGGAUUGGAGAACAUGUUUGACGUAUAUACGUAAAUAUUGUCACAUGCUAAAUAAUGCUAUCCAUAUAAGAUAAUGUACCCGACCUGUUUAGUGCUAUUUAAGGGGCAUGGUCACGAUUCGAACACAAAUAUUUUUCAGAUUUUAACGUUUACAAUGCUCCAGUAAGGCAUUUUAAAUAGGCAAACAAAUUUUGAGUGUCAUUUGUUGAGUUAAAAGCGAGUUACAAAGCUUAAAAUUCUUUGCUAUAUGAGUAAGAAUUCCAGGGUUAGACCUAAAAUAAAUGUGUUGAACGUUAGGAACUGUUUUUUUAUACCUAAAAUGAUUAAGAAGAUAUACAAACCAGCCUGAAAAAGAUUUUUACAGGUAUAUUAAACCUGUGUAUACAAGAACAGGGCACGACCCUUGCUUACCUGACGGACGCCGGACAAAGAGUGAUCAGAAAAGCUCACUUGAGUUUUCAGCUGCUCAGGUGAGCUAAAACAGAAUAGUAGAAUUUGACCAAAAUCGUGACCAUGCCCCUUUAAUACUUGUUAAUCGGUCUUAUAUUGGAAGAGGCAACAAAAACAUAAUCGUGUUUUAUUGUAAACAAUUAUAUACAUGUAAUAAAUUAGG